rnacentral:lncRNA from 13 species
UCCUCAGCUUGCAGACGGCGUAUUGUGGGACUUCAGCUUCUGAUCAUAGUCUCACCCUGUCAUUCAGGCUGGAGCAUAAUGGCACAAUCUUGGCUCACUGCAACCUCUGCCUCCCAAGUUCAAGUGAUUCUCCUGCCUCAGCCUUGAGUAGGUGGGAUUACAGGAUGUAAAGAAAUCAUGGUGCUAGAGUGUGUUUGGCCUCCCAUGAAGCCUCAGGAAGCUUCUACUCAUGAUGGAAAGUAAAGCAGUAGCAGACGUGUCACAAGGUAGAGUACAGUAAGAUUGAGAGAGGGUGGGAAGGUGCAAUGUACUUAAAUAAGCAGAUCUCAUGAGAACUCACCCACUAUCUCAAGGAUGGUGCCAAGCCAUGAGGGAUCUGACCCCAUGAACCAAACACCUCCCACCAGGCCCCACCUCCAACACUGGGGAUGACAUUUUAAUAUGAGAUUUUACAGGGACUUAUAUUCAAAAAUGUAUCAAUUGUCAUGUCC